rnacentral:rRNA from 1 species
GACGUAGGGCGCGAGCGUUGUCCGGAUUUAUUGGGCGUAAAGAGCUCGUAGGCGGCUUGUUGCGUCGACUGUGAAAACCUGCGGCUCAACCGUGUGGUCUGCAGUCGAUACGGGCAGGCUGGAGUUCGGUAGGGGAGACUGGAAUUCCUGGUGUAGCGGUGAAAUGCGCAGAUAUCAGGAGGAACACUGGUGGCGAAGGCGGGUCUCUGGGCCGAUACUGACGCUGAGGAGCGAAAGCGUGGGGAGCGAACAGG